GUGGGGAAUAUUGCACAAUGGGGGAAACCCUGAUGCAGCGACGCCGCGUGGAGGAAGAAGGUCUUCGGAUUGUAAACUCCUGUCCCAGGGGACGAUAAUGACGGUACCCUGGGAGGAAGCACCGGCUAACUACGUGCCAGCAGCCGCGGUAAAACGUAGGGUGCAAGCGUUGUCCGGAAUUACUGGGUGUAAAGGGAGCGCAGGCGGAUUGGCAAGUUGGGAGUGAAAUCUAUGGGCUCAACCCAUAAAUUGCUUUCAAAACUGUCAGUCUUGAGUGGUGUAGAGGUAGGCGGAAUUCCCGGUGUAGCGGUGGAAUGCGUAGAUAUCGGGAGGAACACCAGUGGCGAAGGCGGCCUACUGGGCACUAACUGACGCUGAGGCUCGAAAGCAUGGGUAGCAAACAGGAUUAGAAACCCCUGUAGUCC
rnacentral:rRNA from 1 species